GACGAACGCUGGCGGCGUGCUUAACACAUGCAAGUCGAACGCUGAAGGCCCAGCUUGCUGGGUUGGAUGAGUGGCGAACGGGUGAGUAACACGUGAGUAACCUGCCCUCUUCUUUGGGAUAACGGUCGGAAACGGCUGCUAAUACCGGGUAUUCACUGUCCUUCGCAUGGGGGGUGGUGGAAAGGUUUUUUCUGG
rnacentral:rRNA from 1 species